AUUACUAAUUUUAUCAUACAUUAUUUUAUUUCUUCGCGCAGCAUAUUAUUGGGUGUUCAUUUUCUAUCUACGAUACUGGUUUCAGUAAAAUGUACGGAACCAUUGGUCAAAUCAAUAUGCGCGCGCAUGUCGAUAUGUACUCCAUAUUAGGGGGAAAGAUAUUAAUUCGUUAAAUCUGGUUAAAUAUAGAAAAUGUACAAACACUUCACCUUAAGAAAGAGCCAUAAAAUAUUUGUUAUAUAUUUAUUGUAUAAAUCAUAUCGUUUAAAAUGAAAUAAUAUGAAAUUAAAUAAAAAGUAAUUUUACAUGGAGACUUUAGAACGCCAUCUAGAUGGCCCUGAAUUAAUGAAUCAAUAAUAGCGCCCUCUUUACAAUAGACUUGCAAAUUGAAAAUAUCUAAAUUAGGGGAAACCUUUGAAAUAGGUUCAAAAACUACAGAAAUUACAAAAUUCUCAAGAACUUAGUAAUUAAUUUGUACAAUAUUUUAUAUAAGUUCUAUUCAAUUUAUUUUACUCCUUCCAAUAGCCUCAAAGAAGUACAAUGAAAUAAUAGAAAUAUGAGAUAGAAGUUUUCAUUACAUGAAGAUACAUGAUCUACAAAUAAUAUUAAAUAAUAUUGAGUGUACAUAUGUGUGUGGUAAGAUAAAUAUUGAUACAUUACAUUAUGUUAACAAUUAUUGAAUUAAUUUCCUUUUAUAAUGAAAAAUAUGUGUAAAGAUAAGUCAAAUGGGAAAUUCGUUAAGCAAAUGAAUAUCUACAGAUAUGGAGUAUAUAUACUUUCUUUAUGAAAAGAAUAAAAAAGAAUAAAAACAAGAAAUAUAAGGAAUUAUUUGAUAAGGAAAACAAUUGUACAUCAAUUAUUUAAUAGAUAAGCAAAUAAUGAAACCAUUAUAACUUACAUGAUUUAUUAUUUCCUCUUACUAAUUUAUUAUUUUGUAUACAUAUAGUUAUCUUUAAAAUACAGAUGUACUUAGAAGACAACUAAUAUAUUAUAUAUAAUGUAACAUAAUAUAAAAGUAAAUUAUGGCCAAGAUGGAGGUUCUCCGGGUUUUAAUUCUCUUCCAAAUAAAGCUGAUUUAUCACGAUAGUCACUCAUCAUUAACCCAGAGCCAUAGUUGUAAAGUU